CUGAUUAUCAGUUAUUGAUUAUGAAGUGAUCACUAACAGGACAGACAGUAAAUAUACUGAAGGAGAAUCUACAGGUAGAGUCAUUGAUAGCCCCGCCCACAGGGCUCUCACCUUCCUGUCAUCAGAACAACCACGCCUUCUUUUGGGUGUAAAGUUCUUUAAAAGUGACAUAAAUAAAAAAUACCUAGUGGCAUCAUCCAUACAAGUUUUACUCUUCAGACAAUAACAAUAAAAACUCAAACACCGAAGACUGAAGGAGUCUGUGUCCAACUCUUCCUCACAGGUUAGUUAAUGACAGACAGUCAGUGAGUGUGUCUGUGUCCAACUCUUCCUCACAGGUUAGUUAAUGACAGACAGUCAGUGAGUGUGUCUGUGUCCAACUCUUCCUCACAGGUUAGUUAAUGACAGACAGUCAGUGAGUGUGUGUGUGUCCAACUCUUCCUCACAGGUUAGUUAAUGACAGACAGUCAGUGAGUGUGUGUGUGUCCAACUCUUCCUCACAGGUUAGUUAAUGACAGACAGUCAGUGAGUGUGUGUGUGUCCAACUCUUCCUCACAGGUUAGUUAAUGACAGACAGUCAGUGAGUGUGUCUGUGUCCAACUCUUCCUCACAGGUUAGUUAAUGAUGUUACUGAGUCAAUGUGAGCAGAUUGUGUCUGUAGACUGAAGAGAAUCAGAGUCUCACUGAUGGUGGAAAUAAAGGUUUUACUUCCUUAAAACA